rnacentral:rRNA from 2 species
UGGGGAAUCUUCCGCAAUGGACGAAAGUCUGACGGAGCAACGCCGCGUGAGUGAAGAAGGUUUUCGGAUCGUAAAGCUCUGUCUUCAGGGACGAACGUGCUUUAGAUAAAUAAUCUGAAGUAAUGACGGUACCUGAGGAGGAAGCCACGGCUAACUACGUGCCAGCAGCCGCGGUAAUACGUAGGUGGCAAGCGUUGUCCGGAAUUAUUGGGCGUAAAGCGCGCGCAGGCGGGAUGGUAAGUCUAACUUAAAAGUGCGGGGCUCAACUCCGUGAGGGGUUGGAAACUACCAUUCUUGAGUGCAGGAGAGGAAAGUGGAAUUCCUAGUGUAGCGGUGAAAUGCGUAGAUAUUAGGAGGAACACCAGUGGCGAAGGCGACUUUCUGGACUGUGUCUGACGCUGAGGCGCGAAAGCCAGGGGAGUGAACGGG